GAUAUUUGGUCUCAAAUGGGAUAAGAACCCAAAACAAUUGCUUUGAGGCAGUGAAUGGCUUGUAUAAAGUUAUUUUGGGUUAGAAUAUGUUAUAAUACAAUGAAUUUGAUUGAUUACAAGUGCUAGAGAUGCAUGAAGAAUGUUUAGAAGUGAGAAGAAAGACUUGUUGAUAUUUGGUCUCAAAUGGGAUAAGAACCCAAAACAAUUGCUUUGAGGCAGUGAAUGGCUUGUAUAAAGUUAUUUUGGGUUAGAAUAUGUUAUAAUACAAUGAAUUUGAUUGAUUACAAGUGCUAGAGAUGCAUGAAGAAUGUUUCGAAAGUGAGAAGAAAGGCUUGUUGAUAUUUGGUCCCAAAUGGGAUAAGAACCCAAAACCAUUGCUUUGAGGCAGUGAAUGGCUUGUAUAAAGUUAUUUUGGGUUAGAAUAUGUUAUAAUACAAUGAAUUUGAUUGAUUACAAGUGCUAGAGAUGCAUGAAGAAUGUUUAAAACUGAGAAGAAAGGCUUGUUGAUAUUUGGUCCCAAAUGGGAUAAGAACCUAAAACCAUUGCUUUGAGGCAGUGAAUGGCUUGCAUAAAGUUAUUUUGGGUUAGAAUAUGUUAUAAUACAAUGAAUUUGAUUGAUUACAAGUGCUAGAGAUACAUGAAGAAUGUUUAGAAGUGAGAAGAAAGACUUGUUGAUAUUUGGUCACAAAUGGGAUAAGAACCUAAAACCAUUGCUUUGAGGCAGUGAAUGGCUUGUAUAAAGUUAUUUUGGGUUAGAAUAUGUUAUAAUACAAUGAAUUUGAUUGAUUACAAGUGCUAGAGAUGCAUGAAGAAUGUUUAAAUGUGAGAAGAAAGACUUGUUGAUAUUUGGUCACAAAUGGGAUAAGAACCCAAAACCAUUGCUUUGAGGCAGUGAAUGGCUUGUAUAAAGUUAUUUUGGGUUAGAAUAUGUUAUAAUACAAUGAAUUUGAUUGAUUACAAGUGCUAGAGAUGCAUGAAGAAUGUUUAAAAGUGAGAAGAAAGACUUGUUGAUAUUUGGUCACAAAUGGGAUAAGAACCUAAAACCAUUGCUUUGAGGCAGUGAAUGGCUUGUAUAAAGUUAUUUUGGGUUAGAAUAUGUUAUAAUACAAUGAAUUUGAUUGAUUACAAGUGCUAGAGAUACAUGAAGAAUGUUUAGAAGUGACAAGAAAGACUUGUCGAUAUUUGGUCCCAAAUGGGAUAAGAACUCAAAACCAUUGCUUUGAGGCAGUGAAUGUCUUGUAUAAAGUUAUUUUGGGUUAGAAUAUGUUAUAAUACAAUGAAUUUGAU
rnacentral:lncRNA from 1 species